CCCUUAGAUGUUCUGGGCCGCACGCGCGCUACACUGAUGCAUUCAACGAGUCUAAAACCAGGUCUGAUAGGGCUGGGUAAUCUUUUGAAAGUGCAUCGUGAUUGGGAUAGAUGAUUGCAAUUCUUCAUCUUCAACGAGGAAUGCCUAGUAAACGCAAGUCAUCAGCUUGCAUUGAUUACGUCCCUGCCCUUUGUACACACCGCCCGUCGCUCCUACCGAUUGAAUGAUCCGAUGAAUACCAUGGAUUGAGAGUACGAAUGGGUUCGCUCAUUUCUGCUGCUCGAGAAGUGGAGUAAAUCUUAUCAUUUAGAGGAAGGAGAAGUCGUAACA
rnacentral:rRNA from 1 species